rnacentral:rRNA from 1 species
AGUUUGAUCCUGGCUCAGGAUGAACGCUAGCGGCAGGCUUAAUACAUGCAAGUCGUGGGGCAGCAGGUUUGUAGCAAUACAGAUGCUGGCGACCGGCAAACGGGUGCGGAACACGUACAGAACCUUCCUUUGAGCGGGGAAUAGCCCAGAGAAAUUUGGAUUAAUACCCCAUAGUAUAAUGAAGUGGCAUCACUUUAUUAUUAAAGAUUUAUCACUCGAAGAUGGCUGUGCGGCUGAUUAGGUAGUUGGCGGGGUAAAGGCCCACCAAGCCUGCGAUCAGUAACUGGUGUGAGAGCACGACCAGUCACACGGGCACUGAGACACGGGCCCGACUCCUACGGGAGGCAGCAGUAAGGAAUAUUGGUCAAUGGAGGCAACUCUGAACCAGCCAUGCCGCGUGGAGGAUGAAGGUCCUCUGGAUUGUAAACUUCUUUAUAUGGGACGAAAAAGGCUUUCUAAGUCGUCUGACGGUACCAUAUGAAUAAGCACCGGCUAACUCCGUG